rnacentral:piRNA from 1 species
GUGGACUUGAGAUUUCAUGGAGCCUGGU